CGCGGGGUAGAGGAGUAGUACUUCGUCAGGCUCAUAACCUGGAGAUCGCUGGUGCAAUUCCAGCCCCCGCGA
rnacentral:tRNA from 1 species